GGGCGGGUGGCGGAAUAGGCAGACGCCCGAGACUUAAAAUCUCGUGGUCCUUUGGGACCGUGAGGGUUCGAGUCCCUCCCCGCCCA
rfam:Candidatus Omnitrophica bacterium 4484_70.2 ex4484_70.2_scaffold_619, whole genome shotgun sequence.